rnacentral:rRNA from 1 species
CCUACGGGUGGCAGCAGUGGGGAAUAUUGCACAAUGGGGGAAACCCUGAUGCAGCGACGCCGCGUGAGUGAAGAAGUUUUUCGGUACGUAAAGCUCUAUCAGCAGGGAAGAAAUACAGUCCUUUGGACUUUGGACGCUCCCUGACUAAGAAGCCCCGGCUAACUACGUGCCAGCAGCCGCGGUAAUACGUAGGGGGCAAGCGUUAACCGGAUUUACUGGGUGUAAAGGGAGCGUAGGCGGCAGGGCAAGUCUGGAGUGAAAGCCCAUGGCUUAACCAUGGAACGGCUUUGGAAACUGGGAAGCUAGAGUGCAGGAGAGGUAAGCGGAAUUCCUAGUGUAGCGGUGAAAUGCGUAGAUAUUAGGAGGAACACCAGUGGCGAAGGCGGCUUACUGGACUGUAACUGACGUUGAGGCUCGAAAGCGUGGGGAGCAAACAGGAUUAGAUACCCUAGUAGUC